UCAACCAUGCACACACUGAAAAGUUGAUCCAUGCCUUUGUCUCCUCCAGAUUGGACUACUGCAACGCCCUCCUCAUCGGGAUCCCCGGCAAAAGUCUACAAAAGCUGCAGCACAUUCAGAACUGUGCUGCCCAGGUCCUGACGAGGAGG